rnacentral:rRNA from 1 species
GAGUUUGAUUCUGGCUCAGGAUGAACGCUGGCGGCGUGCCUAACACAUGCAAGUCGAACGAAGAAUUUUUUGGAAGUUUUCGGAUGGAAGAAAAAUUACUUAGUGGCGGACGGGUGAGUAACGCGUAAGUAAUCAACCUAUAACACACGAAUAACUAAGAGAAAUCUUAGCUAAUACGAGAUGAAGUAAGUAUAUCGGGAGAUAUAAAUAUGAAAGCUGAGGCGGUUGUAGACGAGCUUGCGUCUGAUUAGCUAGUUGGUAGGGUAAGAGCCUACCAAGGCGACGAUCAGUAGCCGGCCUGAGAGGGUGAACGGCCACAUUGGAACUGAGAGACGGUCCAAACUCCUACGGGAGGCAGCAGUGGGGGAUAUUGCACAAUGGGCGAAAGCCUGAUGCAGCAACGCCGCGUGAGCGAAGAAGGCUUUCGAGUCGUAAAGCUCUGUCGUAUGGGAAGAAAAAAAUGACA